UAGUCCACGCCCUAAACGAUGCUUACUCGAUAUUCCGGCUUUAUGUUGGAGUGUCCAAGGGAAACCGAUAAGUAAGCCACCUGGGGAGUACGUUCGCAAGAAUGAAACUCAAAGGAAUUGACGGGGGCCCGCACAAGCGGUGGAGCAUGUGGUUUAAUUCGAUGAUACGCGAGGAACCUUACCAGGGCUUAAAUGUAGUCUGACAGCUGUAGAGAUACGGUUUUCUUCGGACAGAUUACAAGGUGCUGCAUGGUUGCCGUCAGCUCGUGCCGUGAGGUGUCAGGUUAAGUCCUAUAACGAGCGCAACCCCUGUUGUUAGUUGCCAGCGAGUAAUGUCGGGAACUCUAACAAGACUGCCGGUGCAAACCGCGAGGAAGGUGGGGAUGACGUCAAAUCAUCACGGCCCUUACGUCCUGGGCCACACACGUGCUACAAUGGUGGGGACAGAGAGCAGCCACUGCGCAAGCAGGAGCGAAUCUAUAAACCCUAUCUCAGUUCGGAUCGGAGU
rnacentral:rRNA from 1 species